rnacentral:rRNA from 1 species
UGCGUAGGCGGAUUAAUAAGUCAGUGGUGAAAUCUUUCGGCUCAACCGAGAAGCUGCCAUUGAUACUGUUGAUCUUGAGUUCGGUUGAGGUAGGCGGAAUGUGUAAUGUAGCGGUGAAAUGCUUAGAUAUUACACAGAACACCAAUUGCGUAGGCAGCUUACUAGACCGACACUGACGCUGAGGCACGAAAGCGUGGGGAGCGAACAGGAUUAGAUACCCUGGUAGUCC